rnacentral:lncRNA from 1 species
CCAACUCAGAAGCUAGGAUAUGCAUAUUAUUAACACAUUCGGAUAGAAAACACUCUGAAUUUUCUAAAACAGUUUGAAUGGUGUCUGUAAGUAUAACAAAACUCAUAUUGCAGGCAAAAACCUGUGAAAAAUAGAUCAAAAAAAAAUGUGAAUUUUGUGACUGUACUAUUUAGUGUCAUUGUUUUAUAGAUACCAUAGUGAGAAAGGAUUCAUUUCGCAACACCUACGGCUUCCACUAGAUGUCAACGAUCUUUAUAAAGUUGUUUGAAGCGUCUAUGAUAAACAGAGAGCAAAUUAGAAUCCAAGGAAGUUGACAUGUCAUCACUUCAUUUUUUUGCGCCUGCGCAUAAAUCUGAGAAACAAACCACAUUUGUUCCGGACCUGGGAUGCCUUCCGGACCUGGGAUGCCUGUCUUCUGAUGGAGAUAAUCAAAGAUGUCAAUUCCAGGAAUCCCAGGUCCAUAACGAAUGUAGUUUUGUUCAAAAAAGCUCAUCAUUUAUGUCCAAAAAUCUCCGUCUUGUUAGCACAUGAUGUAAGCCAGCCGGACUUCUCGUCAUGAACGAGGGGAAAAAAUAUAUUUACGUUCGUUCAAACAUGUCAAACGUUGUAUAGCAUAAAUCAUUAGUGCCUUUUUUAACCAGAACAUGAAUAAUAUUCAAGGUGGACGAAUGCAUUCUCUUUUAUAACGUAUUGGAACGAGGGUACCCAACAUGAACUCGCGCGCCAGAGUCUAAUCGGCCAUCACCGUUCCAUGGCUCUUGUUCGGUCAGAUCUCACAGUAAAAGACUCAAAACACUUUGUAAAGGCUGGUGACAUCUAGUGGAAACAAUAGGAAGUGCCAAAACAGUAAUCAACCCCUCUGUGUUUCAAUGGCAUAGGCUUAAAGGUAAUUCAACACAUCAGGUAUCCACUUCCUGUCAGAAAAUGUCUCAGGGUUUUGCCUGCCAAAUGAGUUCUGUUAUACACAGACACCAUUCAAACAGUUUUAGAAACUUUAGGGUGUUUUCUAUCCAUAUAUAAUAAGUAUAUGCAUAUUCUAGUUACUGGGUAGGAUUAGUAACCAGAUUAAAUCGGGUACGUUUUUUUAUCCAGCCGUGAAAAUACUGCCCCCUAGCCCCAACAGGUUAAACAUGUCUGUAAAAUCACAAUGUGAACAUCGACCUAUCAAGUAAUUUUUCAUAAAUCAUUGGGUACAAUGCAAGAACAAAUGUGAGAGUAAUCUGAAGUGGUUGCAUUAAUUCAUGUUCACAUUUACAACAUAACAUGCAUGAGCAUUUCAUCACUAAGACUUUUUGGGAAUAAUGUCUGAAGGGUGAAAAUCCCAAAACAUUCUCUUUUGUGCAGAGUAUUAUUUAUACCACCUCCCCUGUAUUAUAUCUUGACUUUCUCUAUGCCACAACAUCUAAAAAGUAGAAAUGUCAUGUUUUUGGUCAUUUAAAAUGUACUGACUGGAUAAUCCCUGUCGUUUCUCCUGAUUUAACUUUUAUGUUCACUAAUUCUCUGUUUGAGAGAACGAGAGGUUUUACCUACAUAACACAGCCCACAUGGACAUUUAAUCAUGUAGGUAACAUGGGUGGUGGAGCACGUAAUAAUGUAAUUUAUAUGGAACUGUUUUCCUGUAUGUGGGUGGCAGAAAUAUUCACACUUCAUCAUAUUGUUGCACUGUGCGCAACCUCUGCAUUUAUAGCUACCAUUCGGAAGAGCGUGUAAAAGAGCCAGGAUCAUUUGCUUUAGUGGCUGGCAGUUGGCAUGGACCAAUUUGUCACGUAAAUUGCGACCUUUCCUAUAUACAAUAAGUGGUGGGUUCUUAAAUUCAGCUGGCAAAGCUGGGUCCAAUGAUAAAACACGCCAAUGGGUUUUGCUCAUGAUAGCUUGAACUGACAAUGACUUGGUGAUAAAAACCUAAAAGAUAGCAUUCCAUAGACAAGAUGUGGUGUGUGUGACCCGAGAUAGAGUCAGGAAGAGUUUUUAGAACAAUGCCUCAUUGUCUCAUCUUCCUGGCAUUGGGAAACUAAGCCGAGUUGGAAGUAAAACAACGUCCCGUGCAGAUAACCUGGAGAUGGACCAAGGUGGUUUGUGGGAAGGGUAUAAAUGACUGACUAAGCAUUUUUUAGGGCCUAUAUAGAGUGUGGGGUCGACACUUUCAUUGUUGCAAUAAUGAAUCAAUGUUAAAUAAAAAUUAUUGUUUGAAUAAUUGUCCAAGUCUCUCUCAGUACUGGAACUUCCACAACAGUUUUGGCGACGAGUGUCCGUGUAUAUGUGAUGAGAAAAGGAGUCAAUCGCAGGACACCGAACUGAGUAAAAAUUAAGUAAUUUACUCAACAUAAAAAUUCAGUAUACAAAAUCCAUGCAGGGAAAACAAGAACUACAAAACCAACGAACAAUACCAACAGUAAAACAAUAACGCACAAAACAUCAUGAUGACCAGAGGGUUAAAAUAGGGCAGUAAUCAUAACCAAAUGGGAACCAGGUGUGAACAAUCAAGACAUAACCAAUCGACAAAGAAACAUGGAUCGGUGGCAGCUAGAAAGCCGGUGACGAUGACCGCCGAACGCUGCCCGAACAAGGAGAGGCACCAACAUCGGCGGAAGUCGUGACAACGAGGAGGAUCUCUGCAACUUCACCUGUUGACCGCUCCUGAAGAUCUGGGUAAACUGUGCACAGGGGAUCCAAAAUUGGGAGCUCGGGGAAACCACACUCCAAAGGAGAAGCUGGACCCUCCUCAGAUCUGCAGGAAGCGGGCACGGAUGGAUAUCAGAUCUCGAACAUAGUGCUGAGAGAGGUGAGCUUGGACAAUCUAUCAAUAAGUGAUACAAAAAAAUAUAUAAAUAACAAAAGCCCCUGUCAAGGGUAUGCUCAGAGCAAGGUCUUCCUUAAGAGGGCCACAACUGAGGUAACUAGCAGGACUGAGUUGAGUUGAUAAGAGUGUUCUUAAGUGAGGUUUCCUUGGGCAUGAUUGAGAAUUAGCCUGUUGCGGGCAACCAAAAGUCCAGAUCCGUGGUACUGGGUUGAUCACAGUAGGACUGGUGAUGUUAAUGUGUAGAGCGAGAGACUAGAGCGCAGGUGACGCCUUACAAGGGCACCUGGCAUGGUGAAUUUCAAAUGAUAUGUAUGUAGUUGAUUAAAUGUUUUGUUGAUGAAGUAAACAAGUAUGCCCUGGGUCAGUAUUGUUAGUUGUUAUUGUUAUUCCUGGUUAGAUAAUAACCCGUUUUGGGACCACAAGUUAGGCAAUAUUUUGAUAAUGGUAUGGUUUUCCCUGCUCAUAUAGAGAGGGUUUACAAUCUAAAAACAGCGCUAACGAUUUAAUAAAAAAAUGUUUUUGACUGUCUCAUUCCCUAUGUUUGUGUUUUCUGUGAGUGUGUGAGUGAAGGAGCCGGAACCAUGGGAGCACACGGUAGCGAAGGACACGGAAUUCCAGAUCCCCCAAAGGAUGCCCUGAAGGUUAAGGGUGAAAGCAGCUUUGCCUCAGCCCCUGGUGGGAAUCCUACAUAAGCUUCAACCUGGUGACUGGGUUGUGGUCAAGGACCUGAGGAGGAAGCAUUGGACCCAGCAGAAGUGGAAUGGCCCAUUCCAGGUGUUGCUGAUAAACCCCACCACUGUUCGAGUGGCUGAGAGAUCGACAUGAGUACACUCCAGCCACUGCAGGAAGGUCCCAUAUGAUCCAGUUUCAGAUGUCCCGGAGGAUGGGUUUCCGCCAGCCAUGACCUAGUUGGCCGUGGGAGAAUCAGGAUGAAGUCAGAGGAAUCCUGGUUGUUGCAUUCUUUGCCAGCCUCUUCAUCUCAAUGACUGUUUGAACCCUGCAGAGAGGGGAAUAGGCGAAAGGGGAGGAUGGCCCAAAUAUCACUGCAGUCCCAAAGCUGGGACUUAAUAACAGCCACUCCAGCUCAAGCCAAUGGCAGGCUCAGGACAUGAGUCCAGUAAACAAUAGCCACACUGAGACCAGAAGAAGCAGGAGCUCGAUGCAUCCACUGGAUGAGCAUCACAGCCAGAAUCAUGAGGAAAACACUUGGUGGUCACUGCUUAAUUAUACAGUAAAAACUGAACUAAUGGUAGAAAACACCUCCUGUCAUGUAUGUAGUCUUUUUCCACGCUCAGCGAUCUCAACAUUCUUACAGUAUUCAGUAGAGGCCAGCAUUAACGACACUCUAUGUGCACUGGAAGUCAUCUUAUCAAAUUAAACUUCAUGGGGUUAACCUUCACAGGGUAGAACUAUGAAGGAAAAAUGCAUUAAUGAUGAUUUGUCAUUGUCAAAAGAUAUGAGGCAGAUUUGAUUGUAAACGUUGGUGUACUAAAAUGAUUUUAGAACCUAGACACCGUGUACUGAAACCUAUACUAAUCCAACCCCGCCAUUGUCACAACCCAAGUAUUAUCUCCAUACCACGAUCUUAUGAAUCCUAUUUGGGAAUGUCAACAUGUGUUAAUUAUAGUCUUCCCAUUAGGAUGUAGCUGGAUAAAUGGAACAUGCAAUUCUAACUGGCCUGUUAAACUUAAUGUGGGGCACACCACCAUUCAAGUAGAAACAGACGAGCGCUGUCCACAUCAAUAUGGCUCAGCCACGUUUAAUGAUCAUUAUUGGAUCUGUGGUAAUAAGGCAUAUCUUUAUUUACCAACAAAUUGGACAGGGUGCUGUGUUUUUGGUAAACUAAACAUCUCCAUUGUUGUAAUGCAUAAAACAAACUCCUCCAUUCCACGCAGAUUAAGACGGAUUAGGAGGAGCAUUUCACAAUUGAAUGACGUUCCAAUUGAGUCACGACGAUCCUCAGAACUUGAAGUUUUGGCAUGGGUUAAUUUCUUGAUAUGGGGCAUCGGAAAAUGCCCAUGACUUAGAACGAUUGGGAUAUCAUUUAGAAACUUUUGUAAAUUUAAACCACUUCAGGAUUUUCGAUAAUGAGACCAGAAUUACAAGCAGCUCGCCUCACGGCUAUACAGAAUAGAUUAGCACUUGAUAUGUUACUAGCACAGGAAGGGGGAGUGUGCCAAAUGAUAGGUGAAUAUUGCUGUACAUUCAUACCCCAGGAUGAGGGUAACUUCACUAUUGUUGUGGAACAUCUGGAAGAGCUCACCGGCGAUCUCACAAAAGAACACCAACCAGACAACAAUUGGAAUCCGUUUGGAUGGGUUCAAUCAUUAUUUGGUGUUAUGGAAACAACAGUUUUCCAUUGGCUCAUUUAUGGCCAAUUAAUAUUUUUUGCUGUGCUAUUUCUUAUUGUCUAUGUUAAAAAUCUUUGUUGUAAAGUGCUGGAUACUGCCCUCACUAUGCCAUUGCUUGAUGUUCAUGCUGACUCUGAGGAUGAUGAGAAUAAUGAUGAUGUAUCUAUAAAUGAUCGAAUGCCUGAUAUUCCAGACCUAUUUCCCAUUCCUGAUUACAUACAGUGGGGAGAACAAGUAUUUGAUACACUGCCAAUUUUGCAGGUUUUCCUACUUACAAAGCAUGUAGAGGUCUGUAAUUUUUAUCAUAGGUACACUUCAACA